rnacentral:lncRNA from 1 species
UGGGAUCAGAAGCCAGGCUCUGAUUGAGGUCAGAGGUCACCCCGUGGCUGGGAUGGGAACUCAUUCUGUGCCUGGGUCAGGGCUCAGGCUAUGGCUGGGAGCAGAGUUUAGUUUGUAGCUGGGAUCAGGGGUCAGUCUAUGCUUUUGACCAGGGCUCAGCUUAGUCUGGGAUCAAGGGUCAAUUUGGGCUGGUGAUGGGGGCUCAGUCUGUGACCAGGGUGAGGGGUCGACCUAUAGGUGGCCUCAGGGGUUAGUCUGCGGCUGGGGUAAGGACUUGGUGUAUGGCUGGGAUGAGGGUUCAGUGUGUGACUGGGAUCAGAGGCCAGCCUGUAGCUGGGAUUAGGGAUGAGUCCAUAGCUGGAGUAGACACGCAGACUGUGUCUGUCAAGACUUAAUCUGUAGCUCGGAUCAGGGCUCAGACUGUAGCUGAGAUUAAGGAUCAGACCAGGGCAGGGGCUGGAGUUCAACCUGGUCUGGACAGUCUCUGCCCCUGCCCCGGCCGCCCAUUUUUCCCCAGCUGUCCUGGGUCAAGUUGCUGCAGCUGAACUUUGCUUCCUCUUUGGAUCAGAGCGUUCUUGGCCAGCACCCAGCAGCUGAUUCCCCAGGGGAGAGGCCCCGUUCCCGCCAGCCACAUUCCCACGCCGGCCUGGGAGGCUGCCAGAGAGUGGCUGGGUGUCGGGGGCUGCCUCCCAGGGGACCUGCCUCUCACCCUGCCCAGCUCUGAGGACAGCACGAGAUUCCUGCAGAUGGAGCUCCUAACCUGUCGCCCUGCAGGCACUGUGUGUUUGGACAGCUGGAAGCAGAGCUCGGCCUGUGACCUGCCUGGUCCAGCAACUGGACCUUCUGGAGAGUCACAGUGAGACACACAGCCACAUCCUGUAAAUGAAGACCUCGUGGCUCAGAGAGGUCAGGUAACUUCCCCAAAGCCUGUCUGGCCUCCCAGCACCAUCCCUAGUCCCAGAGGGGAGGUGGAAUGAAGGCAGGGCUAAGGCCAGGCUGCAUGGAGGCAGAGGCACCUGCCGGCCUGCAGGACCAAAGGUUCUAUUGGAGGCAGUGCCUGGGCAGACAAAGGCCCUCAGAUUCACAAGCUGAAGCCCUAGCACCCAGGGCCCCAGUGUGCUACUGUGUUUGGAGACAGGUAAAGGUUGUCAAGGUAAGACAGGGUGGCCCUGAUCCAAUAUGACUGGCGUCCUUGUAAGAAGAGGAGAUUGGGACAGACACGCCCCGAGGGAUGGCCAUGUGAGGGCGCCUCAGGAAGACGGUGUGCAAGAGCGGGAAGCGGGGCCUCGGAAGAGCCAGCCCUUGGAUCUCGGGCUUCCAGGAGAAUCAGUUCCUGCAGUUGAAGCCACCAGGGUCUGUGCAACUUUGUCACAGCUGCCCGAGCUGACAAAUUCACCUGACUUAAGCCCCCCGCCCCACCCGACCACAGUGUCACCCAGAUGCUUGGCAGGUGCUGUGGCAGGGGCUGGGUCCCUGCUCGACCUUCGGGUGCCGGGGUGUCCCGUAUAAGAGCAGCACAGCCACCGCCACGGCCACUCGCAGUUCCAGGCUCCGGGCAGCAUCUGGGACCCCAGUUCCUGUUGUGAGAGGCUCCCCACUGCCAUCCCACCCCCUGCAAGUAAGCCAGAGAAAAGAAAAUGCCAUUCGGAAAAUCCUAAGGAAGAGAGGAUGCAUUUCCUCGUCUCCACGUGGAAGCGGAUCACCCUAAAGGUCUUCAUCCUGGUCUUUUUCAUGCUGAGGAGGCUGGGGAGGAGAAGGAAGAGGAGGGGCUGGUCUUGCUGACCCAGGAGCAGCAGAGAAAGGAGAAAAUCCACGUGCAGGGGCUGGCCAGCGCUGGGCUUCUCGGGAAUGGAAUCACACACGGACUGUGGCGUACACAUCACAACUUUAAACCCCGUCCGUACUGAAGCCUGCGUCCGAAUUUCUUCUGUUUUUGUGGCGGAAGGAUAAAUAUUCCAUUGUACAGACGGUCUACCCGGUUCA